UGGGGAAUAUUGGACAAUGGGCGAAAGCCUGAUCCAGCAACGCCGCGUGGAGGAUGAAGGCCUUCGGGUUGUAAACUCCUGUCAGGUGGGACGAAAAGGUUUCGGUUAAUACCCGGAAUCUCUGACGGUACCACCAGAGGAAGCCCCGGCUAACUCCGUGCCAGCAGCCGCGGUAAUACGGAGGGGGCGAGCGUUAUUCGGAAUUAUUGGGCGUAAAGGGCGCGUAGGCGGUCCGAUAAGUCAGGGGUGAAAUCCCUCGGCUCAACCGAGGAACUGCCCUUGAAACUGUCAGACUUGAGGCCGGGAGAGGGUGGUGGAAUUCCCAGUGUAGCGGUGAAAUGCGUAGAUAUUGGGAGGAACACCAGUGGCGAAGGCGGCCACCUGGACCGGUUCUGACGCUGAGGCGCGAAAGCGUGGGGAGCAAACAGGAUUAGAUACCCCCGUAGUCC
rnacentral:rRNA from 1 species